AUCACCUCAAUUUGAGCAGUCACCGCGGCAUCAGCUUGUUCUUCCUUUUCAGUGAGGACAUUGUUGGGAACAAAGCCUUCUUCUCCUCGACUGUUCCUCACUUUCCACCACAGCUUUCUCAUGUCCAGCAACUACGGCAUGAACCAAACGCAGUUUUCAUUUGAUGUUUUUAAUAUUUUCUCAGAAUUUUUGUUUGGAAUGGAUAAGAGUGAAAAACCUCCACAAUUUCGCCUUUCUUGAUGGUCAGCUCCCUGUUGUUUCUGGAGAUGAAGUCGUGCAUGACGCGCAUGCGACGUAGCUUCUUCUCAGGUAGUCUGGCGUGGUCACAGACGUAUCAUGGAUUUAUAAACACAUUACAGAGUAUUCAUCUUCCAGGACCACAAAGAUAGGACAUAUGAGGGUUCACCUUGCUGGGCAGGGGCUGUCGAACUGCUUGCACCCUGACCGGGGUCUCGAUGGGGGCUGCAGGGGGUUCCCUGAGCUCAGGAGGCUGCCAACCAUCAAAAAACUGCAGGUUAUACGUUGGGAUAUCUUCGUCAUCCUCGGGCCAUUUGGUGCUGUGCAAAAGGUUAAUAUUGUAGAUCAACUAAGUCCUUCACCUGGGAAUAUUCCAAGCGUCUCCCAAAGACUGCCACAGCUUGUCCUCCUCCUCGGUCGCCUCCUCACUCAUCAGACAGAUGCACUGAGGAGUCAGCAGGGGAGCCACGAUGCUCGGGGGAACGUCCUCAGAGCACUGAGAUACGACCUAUAAGACAGUCUAAGUGGUCACAAACUACACUUGCACACUUCAAAGAGAUUUAAACCAAUUAAUAGAAAAAGUGAAAACGUCAAAUUGUGCUCGGACACUCUAGAGCUGAUGUACAGUAUAUGAAUAACGUAGGACAAAUUAGAAAUGUAGGAAAUGUGAGAGUUUGGGAGGAAUAAAAAAUGUGGGGAAAAAAAACUGUUGUUCGGACAGUGGCAGCUUUUUAAAAAAAAAUUAUAUAGGAAUUUUCUCAUGUAAAAUCCACAAAGUCCAACAAAGUACAGUGGUUUGAAAAAGUAUUUGAACCUUUUGGAAUUUAUCACAUUACUGCAUAAAAUCACCAUUAAA